GACAGAGGCCCCAAGCGUUAGGCGGAAUCACUGGGCUUAAAGCGUGUGUAGGCGGACGCCUAAGUGUCUUGUGAAAUCCCACGGCUCACCCGUGGAACUGCUGGGUAUACUGGCGAUCUUGGGCCAACUAGGGGCAACUGGAACAAGCGGUAGAGCGGUGAAAUGCGUAGAUAUCGCUUGGAACGCCAAAGGUGAAAACAGGUUGCGUGGGGUUGUGCCGACGCUGAGAACACGGAAAGCCAGGGGAGCAAACGGG
rnacentral:rRNA from 1 species